AAGAAUGGGAGCUUUGGUUGGAAAUAGUCUUCCUCGACUGUUCUGGAGUGGAUGAAUAUCCAGUUUAUCCACUGUGCAUAUAAUCUAGUGGUGUUGGAUAUUGUAAAAUGAGGUCUCCAGACUGGAAAGUUUGAAUCAUCUACAUCAGCUUAUCUUAAAGUACUGGAGGGGAGGAAAGGUUUGCAAACAUUUAUUACUUUGUGCACGUGGAUGUCUUUCCUUUCACUGCAGCAAUAGACGCGGAGGUAUUCAAUUCCUUUGCAGCAAAGGCAAAUUUAUCAUGGGCUUCAGCAUGUCUGCUGUGUCCAGGGCUCCAGUACUGUUCUCUGAGACCUCCAAAGCUCAAGGAAGAGACAUGGAUUAAACCAAUGGGAAGUGAGGAAAGCAGAGGAGCAAAGACAUAGGGAAGGGGCUUUCAGGAAUGCAAAUCAGUGAAGAAAAAAAAACUUUUUGAAGACAGCUGGAAAGGGUCUCCUGCUGCCUUGGAAUUCUGCCUGAUUAAAAAUGGGGCCUUUGUGGACAGAAGCAUUCCUGUUCAGAUCUGUCACCCAGCGGUGCUGCGAGACAUAUGCAUGAAUAAUCUUCCUCAUUUUCUGGAAUCUCAAUUCUAAAACAAGUCCUUGACAAAAAUGAGCAGAGCAGAACAUCUAAGAAGGCUCUUAUAGAAACUAAAGUGGGUGAAAAGGAAGGUAGCUGGAGUACUAUUACUGAGGUAUUAUUGUUUUCUGGGUUCUGGCUUAAUUUAUUCUUAGAUGUCCUGAGCAUUUGUAGAUUUGAUUCAAGGUCACUGUAAAGCAAAAUAUAGAACAGUUACAGAUUUAGGAUGGGGAGGAUGUUUUCUGUUGUUCAUUCAUUCCCUUGGUAUAAUCUGCCCAGUCAUAUAUGCUCAGGUCAAAUUAGAAUAUGAGGUUUAUGUUGUCCCAUGUGCAUAUCAAACGUGUGGAUACGCCACCAGCAAACUCAUUGGUUUAGUAUGCUUCUGUCUUCAACAGUUUUUGGAGGGGAGUCCUUACAUGCCAAAGUCUGAUUGUUUCCAUUGCCCAGUGUAUGUUUUUAAAACAGAAAGGAAUGAAAUCAGGUUUCUGCAGCCCAUUUGAAUUGCAAAACACCUCCCCAGGUUUGUUUCUGAAACUUGUGUAACCUUCCCCUUUGCUGAAUCUGUAUUCUUUAACAAAAAGAAUCUGAACCAAAAGUGCCAAAAGACACCCAAAAGUUCUUUGAUUCAACUUAAAAUCAACUUCUCUUAACGUUACGUUUUCUUAAACUUGACAGCACUUUCACUGCUAAUUCCUAUGAAAUGUGAAUCUGGAUUAAAAUAAAAAUAAUAAUAAUCU
rnacentral:lncRNA from 7 species